GACGAACGCUGGCGGCGUGCUUAACACAUGCAAGUCGAACGGAAAGGCCCUGCUCUUGUGGGGUGCUCGAGUGGCGAACGGGUGAGUAACACGUGAGUAACCUGCCCUUGACUUUGGGAUAACUUCAGGAAACUGGGGCUAAUACCGGAUAGGAGCUCCUGCUGCAUGGUGGGGGUUGGAAAGUUUCGGCGGUUGGGGAUGGACUCGCGGCUUAUCAGCUUGUUGGUGGGGUAGUGGCUUACCAAGGCUUUGACGGGUAGCCGGCCUGGGAGGUUGACCGGCGACCUUGGGACUGCGAUACGGCCCAGACUCCUACGGGAGGCAGCAGGGGGGAAUAUUGCGCAAUGGGCCGAAGCCUGAUGCAGCAACGCCGCGUGCGGGAUGACGGCCUUCGGGUUGUAAACCGCUUUCGCCGGUGACGAAGCGUGAGUGACGGUAAUGGGUAAAGAAGCACCGGCUAACUACGUG
rnacentral:rRNA from 1 species